rnacentral:rRNA from 1 species
AUACGGAGGGUCCAAGCGUUAUCCGGAAUCAUUGGGUUUAAAGGGUCCGCAGGCGGUCAAUUAAGUCAGAGGUGAAAGCCCAUCGCUCAACGAUGGAACUGCCUUUGAUGCUGGUUGACUUGAGUUAUACGGAAGUAGAUAGAAUAAGUAGUGUAGCGGUGAAAUGCAUAGAUAUUACUUAGAAUACCGAUUGCGAAGGCAGUCUACUACGUAUAUACUGACGCUGAGGGACGAAAGCGUGGGGAGCGAACAGGAUUAGAUACCCUAGUAGUCC